AAAGAAGAAAAAAGAGACAUAACGAAGAAGAAAAAGAAGAACGUAGGCUCCUCUGAGUAAGCGAGGGAAGUGAGCCCAGCUGCAUACCCGUGGCUCCGGGAAUAGUCAUCCUGGCUGGUUCUAGGAAAUAAACCAGAAAAUCCAAUUGAGAACUUAUCUUGAGGUAGAAAUACUGUCUUCCUGCUUUUAAGGGAACUGCCCGUGCGAUCGUGAGCUUAGACCGGCAGAACAAAGAGAGGAAGGCUGGUCACUUCCGAUUGCAUGGCACCCACGGAUUCAUCAUACUUUCCCUGUUCCGAGCUCUUGACUCCGCGAACCAAGUGCUUUCAAGAAAAGAGAAAUGGAAGCUGUCAUUUCCUAUCGUCUCAAAGACAGUCGAGCCCGGGAAAGAUGAAGGGAGGCGGAGGGGACUGUGUUCAGAUGACUAAGCAUGCAUCUGACCUGGAAAAGACUCCUGUCCUCUCUGCGGAAGGGAGGGAGCCCAAUUAGGGGCAUGUAUGAACAAAUGACAUUACCUCACUGAGGGAGAGAGGAAAAUGCUCUCUCCGUGCUAACAAUGACCUUGGGAGAAAAUCUGUUAACUAAUCUGUGAAGAAUUUGCAACCCCAGUGAGUUGCCUCCCUGCUAUGAGCUCCAAACUUCCUUCCUCAGAACUUGACCUCUGAUCCAGUGCUGCCGGACCCUGGGAAAGUCAGCAUCAUGGGAAACAGCCCACCCCAAGUGGCUCUGUUCUGGAUCAGCUCGUCUAGAGAAGGAAAGUCGUGGUCGUCCUUGGAGGUCAGAGUCAGCAGCACCGUGAAGUUCCGUUCUCAGAACCCGGGUCUCCGACUGAACAGAUGUCGAUGGGAUAGCGGGAGCCCACACUCAGCGCUGCCUUUGAACUUACGCAGAGGAGCAGCAUUCAUCGAUCGCUUCAGAGCAGAAUCAAUGAGACCACACGGACGGCGUAGGCAAGGGGAGUAAGAGGUGCUGGUGUGCCUGCGGUUCAGUCAGAUGAGUCGUCUCUGACAUGUCUGGCUGCUCUUGGGACUGUGGGACCUCUGGCUGUCAUCUGAGAGCAGGUCCCCUGACUCCUGCUCUUGAAUCCUCCAUUUCACACUUUGGAUGCCUGAGUCAGAUACCCAGGGCACCCUCAGCUCUCAGGAGCUCGAGGCAAGGAAUUAGAAGAGAGGAAGAAAUACCUUGAAAAUCUAAAAGUGUGUGUGUGUGUGUGUGUGUGUGUGUGUGUGUGUGUGUGUGUGUGUGUAGCGCACAUGAGACAGAGCCCACAGGAGGGCUCUGGAAGCUACCCUGGGAGAGCAUGUCCAGGCCUGGACAGCGGCAGAGGCUGGCUGGUGAUGAGGGUGGGUGGAGCCCACGACAAGCUCCUAAAACACAGCUCACGGCUACUCCUGGUUCAUUCUCCCGGACUCUGUGUUCCUGUCUUUUAUCCUGCAUCCAUGGCCACCUCACUUCGCCCGCUGUGUGGGCAGACACCAGGACACAGCCAUGAAGUCACACCAGAAGAGAACACAGCAAAGAGACAACAUCCCAGCUUCUAGGACAUGCUGAGGAGAGAACAGGGCUUCUGGGAGCAUCACGCUAGGUCAUCUCUGUGGGUUUGACUCUCUGUUCUCAGACUUCCCUGGCCAAGCCCCACCCGGCCCUUGGUAGAGGCCAUGUGCAGCCUAUGCCCAGGACUUUCCUUUUUCUUUCCUUUUUUUCUUUCUCGGUUUUUCCAGACAGGGUUUCUCUGUGUAGUUUUGGUGCCUGUCCCGGAUCUCACUCUGUAGACCAAGCUGGCCUUGAACUCGCAGAGAUCCACCUGGCUCUGCCUCCCGAGUGCUGGGAUUAAAGGCGUGCGCCACCACCACCCGGCCAGGACUUUUCAAUACUGGUUCAGGAUACCUGAAAAGAUGGAUUCUACUCUCUACCCCAGUCACUGAGAAUCCUGAGCUUUGUGGCACAUGCUUGCGGUCCCAGCUACUCAGAAGGCUGAAGCAGAAAUGUACAUAGCAUGAGUCCGUAUGUCUGGACCCAACUGAGUCCGUAAGUCUGGAACCAACUGGGUUAGACACCAUUUCACAGAAAAAGACGCUGAGAUGUGCUUUUGGAGUGUGGGUCCCGUGGAUCCACAUCUUCAGCAUUCGCCCAUGAACAGCAGCUAGAGCCGGGUCUGCUUCCCUCCUGAGCGUCCCGAAGCCCAGUACCACUUGCUCAUUAUGUGGACCCAUUCCACAGUGGGGUGUUUGGCCCUAAGCAAUGUCUUACAGGUCCUUCACUCUUGGCCACCUGCCACCCUCUCCCUGCCUCUCUGACUCCCACUGAGACAGCAAAUCGAGAGCCCUGUGGGCACCCACCAUACUUAAGCUCUGGGGAUGCUUUCCUGUCCCAAGUGGCUCCCCCAGGGACUGUGAACUGCACUGAAGCCUCUGGGGCCCUGAAGUUACAGGAAAGAGGAAGCCGGUGUCCAUGGCUUUCUUGUGGGAUGGGGAUGAAGAUUCAGUGAAGUAAGAAAGACUGGCUUUGACAGGUGCUCUGUGCUCCACAGGGACAAGGCAUCAUUAUCCACACAGCAAGACUGACAGGAGUUGACAUAGGUCUCUGUGUCACCACAGUGUCCUGGAAGCUUCGGCUGGAGCUUCGUGUCAAUCAAUGGUGGCUUGCAAGUCGCUGGAAUCGAGGGCUCUGAAGGUGACAAGGAGGAGACAGAUCGCCUCGGUGUGCAUGCACAUGGGAGAUGAGCUGUCACUGGAGAGCAAGAUCAUGGGCACCACAGGAGGACGGAGGCAGAGCAGCAGCAACUCUGGGCAUAUCAACUGACUGCUGAGUAGGCCCGCUCUUUACCCACGGGCUAACCAGAAAAGCAGAGCGGGCAUGCUCACAGACACCUUUGCUCAGGGAUGUCAGACAGCCCUUUGCUCCGUGUCUUUAGAAUGCAGCAAGGUCUCAGCAGCGGAGGGACCGGCACCUCCUGUCCCUGGUCCUUGUCCAUCCAGAAUCUGACCUCAGAAGAUGCUUUGGUUUCAUUUCUGGUACGGUGAUAAAAACCCUAAAAGCUCACAAUUCUCGGUUGCCAUCUGGCCCAGCAGGGAGGUCAGAGUGGUGGGAACUCAAAACGUCCAGUCACGUCCACAGCCAAAGAGCGGAGAGAAAUGAUGCACGCAUGGUCGUGAGCGCUUCCAUCGGAUGAAUGGCGACCGCCAUCUAGAGCUGCCAAAGUCUCCUCGGGCCACACAGCCCUGGUGCUGACGGCACCGGUUUCAGUCCCGAAAGUGACAGGCGUCUCCCCGUGAGUUUAGAGUUGGGGUGGGGUCUCUCAAGCCCUUGUACACCCCUGCAUUUUGAACUUGAUCCAGGGUAUGAUGUAGACACCCUGUGAAGAUGGUUUCUAGGAAAUGUGGUCCCCCUGCCCUGGCUGGUUGGAUGGGAUCCAUGGAGCGCUUUUUCACAGCUAUCAUUGCCCCACUAGGGUAACUGGGCUUCACAGAUCAUUGGGGUAGGGGCUUUUUUACAACCCAGGCUCUGAAGUACUGAGACUGGGGGACCAGUUCUGGGAAGUCCCGGGUGGCUGGUCACCCUGACCUCUUACCACCUCCUGCCCACUCAGACUUGAACAGGGAGGCUCACAAGGACAUUGAUGUCACAUUGCAAUAAAUGGUCCUGGGCUCUGAA